CAGUCGCCACGGGAAUACGAAGGGUGCAAGCGUUAAUCGGAAUUACUGGGCGUAAAGCGUGCGUAGGCGGUGAGUUAAGUCUGCUGUGAAAUCCCCGGGCUCAACCUGGGAAUGGCAGUGGAUACUGGCUCGCUAGAGUGUGUCAGAGGAUGGUGGAAUUCCCGGUGUAGCGGUGAAAUGCGUAGAGAUCGGGAGGAACAUCAGUGGCGAAGGCGGCCAUCUGGGACAACACUGACGCUGAGGCACGAAAGCGUGGGGAGCAAACAGGAUUAGAUACCCGCGUAGUCCCUGUCUCUUAUAA
rnacentral:rRNA from 1 species